rnacentral:rRNA from 1 species
AACGAACGCUGGCGGCAGGCCUAACACAUGCAAGUCGAACGCAUCGCAAGAUGAGUGGCGCACGGGUGAGUAACACGUGGGAAUGUAUCCUUUGGUUCGGAAUAACGUCUGGAAACGGACGCUAAUACCGGAUGAGCCCUUAGGGGGAAAGAUUUAUCGCCGAAGGAGCAGCCCGCGUCUGAUUAGGUAGUUGGUGGGGUAAAGGCCUACCAAGCCGACGAUCAGUAGCUGGUCUGAGAGGAUGAUCAGCCACACUGGGACUGAGACACGGCCCAGACGCCUACGGGAGGCAGCAGUGGGGAAUAUUGGACAAUGGGCGCAAGCCUGAUCCAGCCAUGCCGCGUGAGUGAUGUAGGCCUUCGGGUUGUAAAGCUCUUUCGCACACGACGAUGAUGACGGUAGUGUGAGAAGAAGCCCCGGCUAACUUCGUGCCAGCCGCCGCCGUAACAC